rnacentral:rRNA from 1 species
CUGGCGGCAUGCCUUACACAUGCAAGUCGAACGGCAGCACGGGUGCUUGCACCUGGUGGCGAGUGGCGAACGGGUGAGUAAUGCAUCGGAACGUGCCUAUUAGUGGGGGAUAACGCUUCGAAAGGAGUGCUAAUACCGCAUAAUCUCUGAGGAGGAAAGCAGGGGACCUUCGGGCCUUGCGCUGAUAGAGCGGCCGAUGUCGGAUUAGCUAGUUGGUGAGGUAAAGGCUCACCAAGGCGACGAUCCGUAGCGGGUCUGAGAGGAUGAUCCGCCACACUGGGACUGAGACACGGCCCAGACUCCUACGGGAGGCAGCAGUGGGGAAUUUUGGACAAUGGGCGCAAGCCUGAUCCAGCCAUGCCGCGUGAGUGAAGAAGGCCUUCGGGUUGUAAAGCUCUUUUGUCCGGGAGCAAGUCCUACUGGCUAAUAUCUGGUGGGGAUGAGAGUACUGGAAGAAUAAGCACCGGCUAACUACGUG